rnacentral:rRNA from 1 species
CAAUACUUUGGUGGCGACCGGCGCACGGGUGCGUAACGCGUAUCCAACCUGCCGAUGACUCGGGGAUAGCCUUUCGAAAGAAAGAUUAAUACCCGAUGGCAUAGUUCUUCCGCAUGGUGGAACUAUUAAAGAAUUUCGGUCAUCGAUGGGGAUGCGUUCCAUUAGGUUGUUGGCGGGGUAACGGCCCACCAAGCCUUCGAUGGAUAGGGGGUUCUGAGAGGAAGGUCCCCCACGUUGGAACUGAGACACGGUCCAAACUCCUACGGGAGGCAGCAUG